GAUGAACGCUGGCGGCGUGCCUAAUACAUGCAAGUCGAGCGAACAGACGAGGAGCUUGCUCCUCUGACGUUAGCGGCGGACGGGUGAGUAACACGUGGAUAACCUACCUAUAAGACUGGGAUAACUUCGGGAAACCGGAGCUAAUACCGGAUAAUAUAUUGAACCGCAUGGUUCAAUAGUGAAAGACGGUUUUGCUGUCACUUAUAGAUGGAUCAGCGCCGCAUUAGCUAGUUGGUAAGGUAACGGCUUACCAAGGCAACGAUGCGUAGCCGACCUGAGAGGGUGAUCGGCCACACUGGAACUGAGACACGGUCCAGACUCCUACGGGAGGCAGCAGUAGGGAAUCUUCCGCAAAGGGCGAAAGCCUGACGGAGCAACGCCGCGUGAGUGAUGAAGGUCUUCGGAUCGUAAAACUCUGUUAUUAGGGAAGAACAAAUGUGUAAGUAACUAUGCACGUCUUGACGGUACCUAAUCAGAAAGCCACGGCUAACUACGUG
rnacentral:rRNA from 1 species